UUCAUAAGAACAGGAAAUGCGUCUGUAGUCGCUGCUGAACAAAACCGCGUGUGAGCUGCGCUCGCGAAGGCAGCUGCGUCUGGAAAACUACCGCGGCUCACGAGGACGGCGACGGCGGCGCGAGACACGACCAAGUCGAACCAGUCGGACCGAUCGGACCAAUGGCAGCAUUCCUCAAGAUAAUCGGAUUGUCUGUUUUUGGGAUGGCACUGUACUUCGUUGCAGUCAUUUCUGAGCUGGCGGACCACAUCGGUGGCCUCAUGUACACCCCGGACCACCGCUACAUCAGAGAGGUGGCCCAUCAGACUGACAGGCAGCUCUCAUCGAGCAGCAACAAGCGACCGGCGGUGACUACAGAUCCGGGCUCGUGACGGCGCCGCGGUCAGACUGUUGGACUGACACACAGCGUGUUCAAACUGUGCCGUGGUCUGGACAUUUUUCCCGGAUUGCGUUUCCCCCUGCAAGAAGCCGGUUGCGACUUGCUGGGUACCUGCUGUCAUGUUGUGUCUUGAGCAGUUGGUUCCUGUUAAAACGAACUGUAGCAGCUAAAAAAAAACUAAAAUGUGACGACAAACAUGAAAGCACUACUGAACACUGAUUCUUGCACUAAAAGUGAACAGUUUUGUCAUUUUGUGAAUAAAACCCUGCAGAGCCA